GGACUUGCUAUGGCGAUGUUAGUAGCUCGUUGCAAUAUUGUUACUGUCGUGGUUCUCAAUUUAGCUGCUACUCCUCUCGAGCUAAGGUAAACACACACCCAGCAUUAAAAAUAAUAAAUAAAAUUCCAUUUUCUGGAUUCUAUUAAAAGAAUAGUUGUUGGUUCUGUGUAAAGCUUUAUAUCUAGUAAUAGUUGUUGGUUCUGUAUCAAUCUUGAAAUGUUUCUGGAUCACCUGUAAAAAAAAAUUAAUUACCAACCUGCACGCACAAGACAUAUAUCUUUCUCAUCAUUUUAAACAGUAACCAUUGAUACUCCACAUAUACAUUUUCUGAGAAUUACUCCAUAUAUGUAGGAUGGCAGCGGUAUUGACAAAUCACCACGGAGAAAGUAAAGAUAUCGAGAGGAUUCCGUUUGUUUGCUCUAUGUAUUGUAUUUCGAAGCGCAGGAAAAACACACACAAAAUUCUAGUUUAUUUUACUGCAUUUUGUAGUAAAAGAAAAUGAAAAUCACAAAAAAAUGUUUGUUUCUUUGCCUUUUGUAGUAAUGGAGAAGGAAAGUAAAAAAACUGCUUGUUUUCAGGGUCGAGCAAUCUGUUGGUUUGUUGUUCACUCAGAAAUGUUUUUAGUUUUGGGGGGUCCGAUGUGUACAUUGUGCAUCAGCAUACACUGCUAGCUGCCCGUGGAGAUCAACACUAAUGAAUAAACAAAUCCUGGUUAUUCUUUCAUCUAGGAUGCUUAUGCCGUCUCGAAACUGUCAACUUGACUCAUAGAAUGAUCUUUUUAGUAUGAUUCAUGGUUAUUUUUUCUUGUUAUUAUGCAUUACUACGAGUUCAUCAUAUUAAGAUUCCUUACAACUUUAGGCACCUGAGCUAUUUACAGAAGGAGGGGACCCGACCUUCUUCACGGCUCGCGGCAGUGUCUCCCGUUUAUUCCUUCAUGCAACAAGGAGGGCACCCACACUUCUUCACAUCUCGUGCAACAAGUAAGGACCAACCUCUGGCUAUUACUACCGGUUCGUGUGCAUGUGCUAAAAAGUAAGAAAAUACCCUACUGGAUUUGGACGUUGACGAGCACUAACAAGUUUUCACUUUCCCACGUGGCCGCAGGGGUGAUCGACACGG
rnacentral:lncRNA from 1 species